rnacentral:rRNA from 1 species
GAUGAACGCUGGCGGCGUGCCUAAUACAUGCAAGUCGAGCGAACAGACGAGGAGCUUGCUCCUCUGACGUUAGCGGCGGACGGGUGAGUAACACGUGGAUAACCUACCUCUAAGACUGGGAUAACUUCGGGAAACUGGAGCUACUACCGGAUAAUAUAUUGAACCGCAUGGUUCAAUAGUGAAAGACGGUUUUGCUGACACUUAUAGAUGGAUCCGCGCCGCAUUAGCUAGUUGGUAAGGUAACGGCUUACCAAGGCGACGAUGCGUAGCCGACCUGAGAGGGUGAUCGGCCACACUGGAACUGAGACACGGUCCAGACUCCUACGGGAGGCAGCAGUAGGGAAUCUUCCGCAAUGGGCGAAAGCCUGACGGAGCAACGCCGCGUGAGUGAUGAAGGUCUUCGGAUCGUAAAACUCUGUUAUUAGGGAAGAACAAAUGUGGAAGUAACUAUGCACGUCUUGACGGUACCUAAUCAGAAAGCCACGGCUAACUACGUG